CGUUCGUGCUGCUGCUGCUGCUGCUUGGUGGCCGGCGCUGCUGGCUCCGCGAGGCUGCUGGCGAGAGGCUCCGGGGCUGCGACGGCGACAGGAGCACCCGCGGCCCUGCCCGGAGCGGGGAAGGGGAGGAGAGCGGCCCGGGGCGGAGUGCGCGCGCGUGUCAGGCUGAAGCAUGAGCCGGACUUGACGGCGAGGCGGAGGCAGCAGCCACCGCCCCCUCGUCCCCUCCCUCGAGGGAGGCGGCGCGGCGGCUGGAGAGGGAUGGGGGCCGCCCGCCCAGUCUGAGUCUCUCCGCGGCGCCUGAGGCUUCUUCACGCAGCGCUUGUCGCGGGGGUCCCCCCGACAGCCUCUGCCCGUCCUGGGGGUGGGUGGGGCGCACCGGCUACCUGAGGUCACCGGGGUGGCCGCGGCGGAGGCAGAGCUGCUGACCUGCGUCGGGGAGAGGGGGUCCGCCCGACCGUUUCCCCUCAGCCCAAGAAGUAGCCAAUGUGAAACCAUGUCACAGAAGCAUUCAAGAAGUAGCUGAAGGAGGAACAAUUUAAGUGCCACUGCCUAUCAGGAAAAAAAAAAAAACAAACAAACCAACCAUGGGAAAUACAACCACCAAGUUCCGUAAAGCGCUCAUCAAUGGUGAUGAAAAUCUGGCCUGCCAAAUAUAUGAAAACAACCCUCAGCUGAAAGAAUCCCUUGAUCCAAAUACAUCUUAUGGGGAGCCCUACCAGCACAAUACUCCACUCCACUAUGCUGCUAGACACGGAAUGAACAGGAUAUUAGGGACUUUUCUUUUUGGUAGAGAUGGAAAUCCAAAUAAGCGGAAUGUGCACAAUGAAACAUCUAUGCAUUUGUUGUGUAUGGGACCUCAAAUUAUGAUAUCUGAAGGAGCCCUUCAUCCUCGCUUAGCACGCCCCGCGGAAGAUGACUGCAGAAGAGCGGAUUGUCUGCAGAUGAUCUUAAGAUGGAAAGGAGCAAAACUGGACCAGGGAGAAUAUGAGAGAGCGGCUAUUGAUGCUGUGGAUAACAAGAAAAACACGCCCCUGCACUACGCCGCGGCCUCAGGGAUGAAAGCCUGUGUUGAGCUUUUAGUAAAACAUGGAGGAGACUUGUUUGCUGAGAAUGAAAAUAAAGAUACUCCUUGUGAUUGUGCUGAGAAGCAACACCACAAAGACCUGGCCCUCAAUCUGGAAUCUCAGAUGGUAUUCUCACGGGACCCAGAAGCUGAAGAAAUAGAAGCAGAAUAUGCUGCAUUAGACAAACGAGAGCCAUAUGAAGGAUUAAGACCUCAGGAUCUCCGCAGACUGAAAGACAUGCUUAUUGUGGAAACUGCAGACAUGCUCCAGGCACCUCUGUUUACUGCUGAAGCUUUACUUCGCGCUCAUGACUGGGACAGGGAAAAGUUACUUGAAGCUUGGAUGUCCAACCCAGAGAACUGCUGCCAACGAUCAGGUGUGCAGAUGCCAACUCCACCGCCCAGCGGGUACAAUGCUUGGGACACACUCCCUUCUCCGAGAACUCCCAGGACCACACGUUCGUCUGUCACCUCCCCUGAUGAGCUCAGUCUGUCUCCUGGGGAUUUAGACACCAGUUUGUGUGACAUUUGCAUGUGCAGUAUUUCUGUGUUUGAAGACCCAGUGGAUAUGCCCUGUGGACAUGACUUUUGUAGAGGAUGUUGGGAGUCGUUUUUGAAUCUAAAAAUUCAAGAGGGUGAGGCUCACAACAUUUUCUGCCCUGCCUACGAUUGCUUCCAGCUUGUGCCUGUGGACAUCAUCGAGAGCGUGGUUUCUAAGGAGAUGGACAAGCGGUACCUGCAGUUUGAUAUUAAGGCUUUUGUUGAAAAUAACCCUGCCAUUAAAUGGUGUCCUACCCCGGGCUGUGAAAGAGCAGUCAGACUGACAAAGCAAGGCUCAAGCGCGUCCGGAUCUGAAACACUCAGCUUCCCGCUGCUGCGGGCGCCUGCUGUGGACUGCGGGAAAGGACACCUCUUCUGCUGGGAGUGCCUUGGUGAAGCACACGAACCUUGUGACUGCCAAACAUGGAAAAACUGGCUACAAAAAAUCACAGAAAUGAAACCGGAAGAACUCGUUGGAGUCAGUGAAGCCUACGAGGACGCUGCCAAUUGUCUCUGGCUGUUAACCAACUCCAAGCCUUGUGCAAACUGCAAGUCUCCAAUACAGAAGAAUGAAGGCUGCAACCACAUGCAGUGUGCCAAGUGCAAGUAUGACUUUUGCUGGAUUUGCCUAGAAGAAUGGAAAAAGCAUAGUUCUUCCACCGGAGGUUAUUACAGGUGUACUCGCUAUGAAGUCAUUCAGCACGUGGAGGAGCAGUCCAAGGAAAUGACCGUGGAGGCCGAGAAAAAACACAAACGGUUUCAGGAGCUUGACAGAUUUAUGCACUAUUACACAAGAUUUAAGAACCAUGAGCAUAGUUACCAGUUAGAACAACGCCUUCUUAAAACAGCCAAAGAAAAGAUGGAGCAAUUGAGCAGAGCUCUCAAAGAAACUGAAGGAGGCUGCCCAGAUACCACUUUCAUUGAAGACGCAGUUCAUGUGCUCUUAAAAACUCGACGUAUUCUCAAGUGUUCUUAUCCAUAUGGAUUCUUCUUAGAACCCAAAAGCACAAAAAAAGAAAUUUUUGAACUAAUGCAAACAGACCUAGAAAUGGUCACUGAAGACCUUGCCCAAAAAGUCAACAGACCUUACCUUCGCACACCCCGCCACAAGAUCAUCAAGGCAGCCUGUCUGGUGCAGCAGAAGAGACAAGAGUUCCUGGCCUCUGUGGCUCGCGGUGUCGCUCCUGCAGACUCGCCGGAAGCCCCGAGGCGCAGCUUUGCUGGUGGAACAUGGGAUUGGGAAUAUUUAGGAUUUGCGUCACCUGAGGAAUAUGCUGAGUUCCAGUACCGGAGGCGACAUAGGCAGCGUCGCCGUGGAGAUGUGCACAGUCUGCUGAGAAAUGCCCCCGACUCUGAUGAGCCCAGCGAAAGCACCAUAGAUAUUGCGGAAGGUGGCAGUAGCCGCAGGCCUGGCACCUCCGUGGUCAGUUCUGCCUCUAUGAGCGUUCUGCACAGCUCCUCCUUGCGUGACUACACCCCUGCCAGUCGCUCUGAAAACCAGGACUCUCUGCAGGCCCUGAGUUCCCUGGAAGAAGAUGACCCUAACAUACUACUCGCAAUCCAGCUGUCACUGCAGGAGUCCGGCCUGUCCCUGGACGAUGAGACUAGAGAACUGGUCAGUAGUGAAGCAUCCCUGGGAGCAAUAGGCACUUCCUUGCCAUCCAGGCUGGACUCGGUGCCCAGGAGCACUGAGAACCCACGGGCUGCCCUGAGCAGCUCUGAGCUGGCAGAACUCGGGGACAGCCUCACGAGACUCGCAGCAGAAUGCGACCCCUUUCCAGCUGACACGGUGAGUUCACGCCCUCUCGAAGAGGCAAGAAGGGACUUGUGCCCCUCAUCCAGUGACCCUGACCCAGCUGGCCAGGACCCCACCAUCAGCGACAAUCUUCUCGGCAACAUCAUGGCCUGGUUUCAUGACAUGAGUCCCCAGAGCAUUGCCCUGAUCCCUCCAGCGACAGCGGGGCCCAGUGCGGAGCCCGUGCCACCUCGUGUGGAGGCCGCAUUGGAAGGCAUGAGGGAGGUGGAGCCAGCGCGGCAGGGAGAAGAGCCGGAGUACGAGGCUGCUGGCGGAAGCCAGGGAGAAGGCGGUCAGUUGGAAGGUUUGCUGGCUGAGGAAGCCACGCCAUCCCUUGGUGACGAUGGGAACGAAGCAGGCGGCCAAGGGCGCGGGCCAGGGGCUCCAGGUCAGACACCUCCGACGUUCGGUGACUGGCGGGGACAUGCACACCUGGUGUGAGCUGCCGCAGGCACUGAGGCCUGGCCCAGGACGCUGCGCUUCAGUCGUCCCAGCUCUGCGCUGCACCAUAGUAACACACAGGGGCCGCAGCUCGGCUCUCGGUUUUCGCCGUACAGGGAAUUUCUUUUGUAUUUAAUUGGAUAGCUUUCCCCCUUUUUGCUGGCAGAAGGAAGAGCAAGAGAAAAAGAAAAGCAAAAUACACAGGUUGUAUUCCUCAUCUUAGAAAGAGGCAUCAUCUGUGUGGCCCAGGAGCACUGUAGGGGAGGCUCCUGUCCUCGUCUGGGGUGACUUUCCUCUGAAACCACCCGAGUGCCCGUUUUCUUCAUCUGAACGCUCCCCUGGACAGACCUGGUAGCUGUGCAUCCUUGGUCCCCGUCGGUCCUGUCUCAGCCUCAUGAAUCGAGCGCUCCAAGGCUUCUCUGUAGUGUCUACCACAGGCUCAUGACUUUUCAUUUUCACAUGAAUCAAAAAUUUCUUUCCCUGUCCAUAUCCAGCCCAGUUGUGCCAAACUCUGUCUCGUGCGCUGACCCACAAGGCGGUUAGGUGUCCCACGUGCCAGCGUGCUCCAGGGCAGCGUCAGCCUUCUCAGGAGGUCACGGUGCCACUCGGCAGCAAAGGUAUUCCCAACUUCGUGUGCUUCUGUUGCCAUGGAGACUGCAUUUCACUAAAUGUAGCCUGUAGUUUAAGUUAACUAAACCUAAUGCUGCUGUUAAAACAGUUUAUUUUAAUAUGAAAAUACAGUUGAUUAGCAACAGCGGUGCUGUGUUUUAAGAGACACUUUAUCAGAAGUGCAAUCCUAGUUCUUUGUUUUCACAAUUUUACAGUGCAUUCUAAUUACUAAUGGGUGCAAUUACUUUUAAUGGUGUUUUAUAAAAUAGAAAAAAAGUGGAGUUUUCAUGAGUUAUAGUAAAUCCCACAACUAUUUAAAAAUUCAAUAAAAACAUCCUUCGCAACAUGUUUUAUCGUGCCUUUGCCUAACCCGAACGGAUAGUUGCCAGUUAAAUAAGUGAGUAAUUCAAAUUUCAGUGUCUCUUCUGAAACAACUAUGCUAUGAAUUGCGAAGACCUCCAUAAAACCACCCAUGGCCUUGCCUUUACAGUAAACAUGACAACUAAAUGUUCAGUUUGUUUGCCUAGAUUGCAGAUGCUGACGUGUCUAUUGCACAAUACUCGUGUUCUGUGUGAUUACUGUUCAGUGUUGGAAAAUGAUCAGCUUCCUAGUUACCAGUGUCUUAACGUGAAGAAAACACUGCUCUUAGUUGUAAUGAAGAUACCGUGGUACAGUGUGUAAUUAAAACUAGAGAAAACUGUUGGAAUGGCUGUUUUGCUUACAUAUUCUCAGAAAUAGCGUUGCACAAGCAGAGUAGGUCCGUGAAGCGUUCCACGCGUCUCCGCGGCAUGUUGGCUGACGCCUGCAGAAAGCCGAACCGCGGCGCUUUGUACAGGCAAGUCCUCGGUGGGGUGUUAGCGCUGGUAUCCACAUGAGUGGUGAUGAUGAUUUGUGAUUUUUUGUUUCGUUUUGUUUUGCUUCUCCACCCUCCCCCCAACCCUGGUUUUGAAAUGUUUUUGUGCUUUGACUAAACGUGGCAAGAACAUUGUUAAUUUAAGUAUUGAAUAGUCCCAGGUUCUGCCAGGAUGAACCAUGUGGGACUUGUCCCUGCACCGUGGAUGUCAAAGGUCUACAUUUGAUUUUGUUUCUCCGAUUAUCAGACACUUGAUACCAAUCCCUGUGGACAUGGGGGUGGGGAGAACUGUUAACUUUAUCUGCAGUGUAUUACUGUACAUGCAACUAAAGUAGUCCAUUCAAGGAUUUUUUUUUUUACAAAUUUAUUUUGCAUUAACAACCCUCAACACCACUAAUUUGUAGAACAUGCUGUGAGUUUCCGAUGGAAACAGCCAUUGCAUCCCUCUGAGGCAUUUGGAGCAGGUGCGCGGGAUGAGUGGGCAUCCCUCUGAGGCAUCUGGCACAGGUGCGCGGGAUGAGGGAUGCGCGGGCGCUGUGUGGGAGGCAGCACUGGCCGCAGCCCGCUUCCCUUGCAGCCUGUGCCACAUAGCCUUUGUUUCCGUGCCCUUCUUUCCUGAGCGUGAGAAGUGAUCGUUACCCAGUUUGUAUUUCCUUGGUACAUAUUUUAAAAACAACACAGUCACUGACUUUACAAUUCAGUAAUAACGUUUGGCAAAGCCUAUUUUGUAAACAAGUUAAUUUUAUAAUGUAAAAAAAAAGUUAAUUUUACCUUGUUACUUGCACUUUCCUAGUCUAUACUUGAUACAUUCCCACUUUAUAUGCAGUAGGAUUCUACAAACGUGCAGAUGUUGGCCAAAUGAAUGCUGUUAAUAAGAUGUAAAAUUAUUUGAUUAAACAUUUAUUACUUAAACUAC